rnacentral:rRNA from 1 species
CACCGCGGUUAUACGAGAGACCCAAGUUGAUAGACACCGGCGUAAAGAGUGGUUAAUAAGUACCAACACUAAAGCCGAACAUCUUCAAAGCUGUUAUACGCACCUGAAGACAGGAAGCCCCCCUACGAAAGUGGCUUUAAACACUAUGACCCCACGAAAGCUAGGCCA